rnacentral:rRNA from 1 species
UACGUAGGGACCAAGCGUUGUUCGGAUUUACUGGGCGUAAAGGGCGCGUAGGCGGCAAUUCAAGUCAGUUGUGAAAUCUCCGAGCUUAACUCGGAACGGUCAACUGAUACUGUUUUGCUAGAGUACAGAAGGGGCAAUCGGAAUUCCUGGUGUAGCGGUGAAAUGCGUAGAUAUCAGGAGGAACACCUGUGGUGUAGACAGCUUACUGGACCACUUCCGACGCUGAGACACGAAAGCGUGGGUAGCAAACAGG